rnacentral:lncRNA from 1 species
CCUUCCAUCCUGUCUCUCUCACCUAACCAAAGAAAGCAGAAGACAGAAGUACAAAACUAGAUAAAGAGAACAAGGUGGGGCAAGGAAAGAUCAAGCGAUCUUUCAUAUGUGACAGCCAUCGAACCCCAUAUAUUUUCUGUUCUAUUAUGACCGUUCGAUAAGCAUCCCAUGGCUAGUAUAGGCUUGAUUUUGUUGCGGAGCCCAGAAUAUCUUCUUACUAACAGAAGGCCCAUCCAUCGAGAAUUCUGAGAUCGCUAGGCUUCAGAUCUACCAGCAGCGGCGAAGGGAGAGGAGAGAAGAAGAGACGGAGGAGAGGCUUUUCGAUGGAGGGGAAGGAGGAGGAGGGGAAGAAUAGGAGGAAGGAGGCGAAGCGGAGGCACGGGUCGACCACCUUGUUCGUGAUGGUGGACUACCUCUUCCUCCUCGUCUUCUUCUGUUUCCUCUGCUACGUCCUUCUCAAGAUCUUGCCCGCGUCUGCUCUAUUCUCUUUCACCACCUCCUAACCGGAAGAAUUCCAUCUUUAUCUUAGGUGAUAAAAUGGCUUCUUUUAAUUCCCCCUCUCUAACAUUCGAAUCGUUUCAGAUCAUUUAUUCUUGGAAUUGCGGCGCAUGAUUUUGAUCCCGGGCAAAACCUGUUUGUUUGGAUGAAUCUAAUGAGAAUAUUUGUAUUGUUUUCUGGUUGUAACUUCUAAAUUUGUUGCAAGAUGAAUUUUUUUGCAAGAUGGUGAUCGUUAGAUAAACGGAUCAUGAUGUGGCUUGCGUUGUAUCUCUUGUGUUGGAUGAAUGAUUUUUCCCCAUUUUUUCUUUUUUUUUGUUUCUUGUUGCUGUUAUACAAUUUUUUCUUUUUCCAUUGGCUUAUGGAGUCAUUGCAUUGAAUAAUGAAGCCCAUGAUGGAAAUGUAAUCAGUAUGGUAAUGCUGGAAAGAAUGUUCAGAUUUAAAAUUCAUUUCUUUCGCAUGUAAAUAUGGUUUUAUAAUGUGAUGGAGUUUGACUCAUUGGAUUUAUUCUAUGUCUGAAUCAUGCUAACGUUGUUGAUAUAAAUCUUAUUCUCUCCACAUCUUUUCCCCUUUUGGACUUGCCCACAGUGUUCUAUACGUUGCCAGAUACUGGAAGCGUGGUUGCAACCUAGGCCAGCAAGAUUUUUUGAUUGAAAAGAAUUGAAUUAUUUAUCUGUAAGUGUUAUUGAUGUAUUGGAAUAUUAUUCUCAUGAAUUUUCUGGUAAAGAGUUGACGAAUUCGUUGCAUAAUGCUGACAAUCUUUGGAAACCAAUUCAGGAUUGCUGCCUACUGUCAUACUGAAUUGGUUGGUUUAUUCACUAGCCCUUGAAUUUGAUGCAUGAACACUAUAGACACCCAAUGCUUGGUGCAACAUAGAUCAACUUCUCUUCUUUCUCUGUUCCUGGUUAAAAGUUUAGAUUAAACUAGAUUUGUUAUAUAUGAAUGAAUUUUCAUACAGUGUCUUCUUCCUGACUGUUUGUCACCAAUCGAUACUUAGAAGGAACAGUAUUGGGUCAAGCAGGAAUAGGAGGGGAAAUAGAGUUUAUCAGUCUUUGCUUGGUGGAAUUUCUCUACAAAAGGCUAAAGAGUAUCACAAGCAUGAUAUAUUUUGGGUAUUCCACACAGAAUCCAGAAGGCUCAUAUGAAAUGCAUGUUUGGCCAGGUGUAGAUGUUAACUUUUGCAGCGAUCAUCAGUGGCAAAUUUGAACAAUAUCAUCGAAAGAUUUUGACAACCGCCAUCAGGCACAAACAAUAUAUUCUGUGUUUUUAGAAUUAAGCAAUUCAUAAAACAUUGACAUUUGACAUGAUUGCUUCAUAUAUUCUGUAGUUGAAGGUUUGAAUAUUAUUUUGUUAAAAUGAUGGAUGAAAAAUAAACUACAGUGGGCAUUGUAGAAUGAUGAUUGACUGUCUAAGACAUCCUGGUAAAUAUUAGAAGAUACUUACUUCCUGAUGAUCCAGACACCACUGAAAUUCGAAUAACUUCUGAUAAAACAAAUGAAACACCAUUUUUCUUUCUUUCUUUUUUGGUUAAUUGCACCUUGAUGCAUAGUAUCCAUUCUGCGGCUAAUUUUGGGGCAGUUACAUGCAACUUGAACAAGGGAGAUGUAAAAGUUGCAUUUUUCAGUGAGAUUACAUUCUUUACUGCAUUUCUGCAAAGAUUUCAUUAGCUUUUGUGAUGUAGUGGCCAUUCACCAUGUGUCACUGCAUUCCUGUUAAUAUCUCAGGAACAUCAUAGCUGCUCUUGGUGGAAUACCCCAGUCGUGGGAAUUAAAAGAGCAAGGCACUUUUGUUUAUUCUUUCCUAGGUGUAUCCUGAACUUGAUGUCCAUCAUCGGUUGAUUGGUUUAAGGAUGGUGGAACAAAGAAGGGGAGGAUGUGUGCAAGAGGAUUAAGCUGGAAGAGGGAGGAUUGCUGAAGAGCAGAAUGCUAUUUGAUUUUGUAACAGAAGGAAAUGCAGGAACCUUCUUCUAAUGUAGGGAGAAGAACGAAUAAAGGUGAUGUUUAGCAAGUGGCAUGAGGGAUUUGUUUCCUUCUCAACGGUGCAAGAAGAUUAAAG